AUACCUUUCUCGGCCUUUAGGCUAAGAUCAAGUGUAGUAUCUAUUCUUAUCAGUUUAAUAUCUGAUAUGUGGGUCAUCGAUCCACAUGAUAUUAACUCAAUUUUUUGAGGGGGAGAGUUCACUAUGGUAGCUUGCUAUCGAGACUCUCAAGUGUCGUCUUGGCAUUACACUACAACCUAGACCUGGCACACCCCAC